rnacentral:rRNA from 1 species
UUGUGAUCAGUGGCGAACGGGUGAGUAACACGUGAGUAACCUGCCCCAGACUCUGGGAUAACUCCGGGAAACCGGUGCUAAUACUGGAUAUGACAUCAAGCCGCAUGGUUAUGGUGUGGAAAGUUUUUCGGUCUGGGAUGGGCUCGCGGCCUAUCAGCUUGUUGGUGAGGUAGUGGCUCACCAAGGCGACGACGGGUAGCCGGCCUGAGAGGGCGAUCGGCCACACUGGGACUGAGACACGGCCCAGACUCCUACGGGAGGCAGCAGUGGGGAAUAUUGCACAAUGGGCGCAAGCCUGAUGCAGCGACGCCGCGUGAGGGAUGACGGCCUUCGGGUUGUAAACCUCUUUCAGCAGGGGAGAAGCCUUUCGGGGUGACGGUACCUGCAGAAGAAGCACCGGCUAACUACGUGCCAGCAGCCGCGGUAAUACGUAGGGUGCGAGCGUUGUCCGGAAUUAUUGGGCGUAAAGAGCUUGUAGGCGGUUUGUCGCGUCUGCUGUGAAAAUCCGGGGCUCAACCCCGGACUUGCAGUGGGUACGGGCAGACUAGAGUGUGGUAGGGGAGACUGGAAUUCCUGGUGUAGCGGUGGAAUGCGCAGAUAUCAGGAGGAACACCGAUGGCGAAGGCAGGUCUCUGGGCCAUUACUGACGCUGAGAAGCGAAAGCAUGGGGAGCAAACAGGAUUAGAUACCCUGGUAGUCCAUGCCGUAAACGGUGGGAACUAGGUGUGGGUCUCAUUCCACGAGAUCCGUGCCGCAGCUA